AAGUCGUAACAAGGUUUCCGUAGGUGAACCUGCGGAAGGAUCAUUAAAAAGUUUGGAUAUGAACUCUCAUUCCAAUCUCCACUCUGUGUAUCUGUCCUCUGUACGCUUCCGUUUGGCGUGGGUCUUCGGAUCCCCUCCUGUCUGACCCAAUCGUGGUUGGAUUGGGAGUGUCCAUACGGGAGCCAAUAGCAAACUCAAUCUUUUAGUUGUAUGUUAUGUCUGAAUAUGUUGCAAAGCAAUAUUUAAAG
rnacentral:misc_RNA from 1 species